AGCGAACGCUGGCGGCAGGCCUAACACAUGCAAGUCGAACGGAUCCUUCGGGAUUAGUGGCGGACGGGUGAGUAACACGUGGGAACGUGCCCUUUGGUUCGGAACAACUCAGGGAAACUUGAGCUAAUACCGGAUGUGCCCUUCGGGGGAAAGAUUUAUCGCCAUUGGAGCGGCCCGCGUAGGAUUAGCUAGUUGGUGGGGUAAUGGCCCACCAAGGCUCCGAUCCUUAGCUGGUCUGAGAGGAUGAUCAGCCACACUGGGACUGAGACACGGCCCAGACUCCUACGGGAGGCAGCAGUGGUGAAUCUUGCGCAAUGGGCGAAAGCCUGACGCAGCCAUGCCGCGUGAAUGAUGAAGGUCUUAGGAUUGUAAAAUUCUUUCACCGGGGACGAUAAUGACGGUACCCGGAGAAGAAGCCCCGGCUAACUUCGUGCCAGCCGCCGCCGUAAGAC
rnacentral:rRNA from 1 species